rnacentral:sRNA from 1 species
UUUCCGUAGGUGAACCUGCGGAAGGAUCAUUCACACAAUGCCUCCCAAAGCGGUUUCAUCAUCCACUAUCGAUCAGAAAAGCUUCUCUGGAGCGUUUUGCAUUGGUGGGACUGUGGUGAUGUGGGCUGCUGUUGGAGAGCGCCAGGAAACUAGCCUAACCCAAUCAUUGAAUCCCUCCCAGUUUUCUCACAACGUAUUUUUGAAAAUUAAGGACACAAACAAUGCCUAUUUUGUGCAAUUAAUGGAUUUGAAGCUCUUUAGAAGGGUGGAUGUCCUCUUGCAUGAAGAGGUUUGUGAGCGCGCGCGGGUGGUGGGGCUGCAUGCAUGCAUGCAUGCAUGCAUGCAGGGCUGCAUGCAGCCCCACCAUGCAUGUAUGCAUGCAUGCACGCAUGUAUCGUGCAUGCGUACAUGCGUGCAAUCGAUGCUUGCAACCCAAUGCAUUUUCAUGAGAAUGCAUGCUAUAGGAAACGUCUUGCAUGAAGAGGUUUGUGAGCGCGCGCGGGUGGUGGGGCUGCAUGCAUGCAUGCAUGCAUGCAUGCAGGGCUGCAUGCAGCCCCACCAUGCAUGUAUGCAUGCAUGCACGCAUGUAUCGUGCAUGCGUACAUGCGUGCAAUCGAUGCUUGCAACCCAAUGCAUUUUCAUGAGAAUGCAUGCUAUAGGAAACGUCUUGCAUUAUCACAAAACUUUCAGCAAUGGAUGUCUUGGCUCACGCAUCGAUGAAGGACGCAGCGAAAUGCGAUACGCAUUGUGAAUUGCAGAUUUUAGUGAACCAUCAGAUUUCUGAACGCAUAUGGCGCUGUUGGGAUUACCCGACAGCACGUCUGUUUCAGUGUCUUUUGACUCCUUCAUAAAGUAUACUGCCAGAGCAUCGGUAGUGUCCAUGAUCACUUCGAUUGUUGUGGUGGUUUCGUCUGCGCGUCGCUGGUGGUAUAUACAUGAGCGUCGCAUAAAAUUCAUUAAGUUUUCCAACAUGUACUGUUGGCUAAUAAAAGCAAUCGGUUGCCAUUAUCCUUUCGUUCACGGAGGAGAUACGGUGGUGUUUAUACUGCUGAAUUGUAUCUCGAGGACAGUGGGAGGGCGGUAUCGAUUGCUUUUGUUUUUGGUUUCAACAGAAUAAUACUAAAUAUAGACCUGAAAUCAGUCGAGGUUACCCGCUGAAUUUAA